CAAUAGCGUAUAUUAAAGUUGUUGCAGUUAAAAAGCUCGUAGUUGGAUUUCUGCUGAGGACGAUCGGUCCGCCCACUGGGUGAGUAUCUGGCUCGGCCUUGGCAUCUUCUUGGAGAACGUUGCUGCACUUGACUGUGUGGCGCGGUAUCCAGGACUUUUACUUUGAGGAAAUUAGAGUGUUUCAAGCAGGCGCACGCCUUGAAUACAUUAGCAUGGAAUAAUGAGAUAGGACCUUGGUUCUAUUUUGUUGGUUUCUAGAGCUGAGGUAAUGAUUAAUAGGGAUAGUUGGGGGCAUUCGUAUUUAACUGUCAGAGGUGAAAUUCUUGGAUUUGUUAAAGACGGACUACUGCGAGAGCAUUUGCCAAGGAUGUUUUCAUUGA
rnacentral:rRNA from 1 species